GGAAAAGGCCUACCAAGGCGACGAUGGUAAGCUGGUCUGAGAGGAUGAUCAGCCACACUGGAACUGACACACGGUCCAGACUCCUACGGGAGGCAGCAGUGAGGAAUUUUGCGCAAUGGGGGAAACCCUGACGCAGCAACGCCGCGUGAGUGAUGAAGGCCUUCGGGUCGUAAAGCUCUGUCAAGUGGGAAGAAAAUACGGAGUGCUAAUAUCAUUUUGUACUGACGGUACCACUGAAGGAAGCACCGGCUAACUCCGUGCCAGCAGCCGCGGUAAUACGGGGGGUGCAAGCGUUAUUCGGAAUUAUUGGGCGUAAAGAGCGCGUAGGCGGUCUUUUAAGUCAGAUGUGAAAGCCCGGGGCUCAACCCCGGAAGUGCAUUUGAAACUAGAGGACUUGAGUAUGGGAGAGGGAAGUGGAAUUCCUGGUGUAGAGGUGAAAUUCGUAGAUAUCAGGAGGAACACCGGUGGCGAAGGCGACUUCCUGGACCAAUACUGACGCUGAGGCGCGAAGGCGUGGGGAGCAAACAGGAUUAGAUACCCUGGUAGUCCACGCAGUAAACGAUGUUCCCUAGGUGUAGCGGGUAUUGACCCCUGCUGUGCCGCAGUUAACGCAUUAA
rnacentral:rRNA from 1 species